rnacentral:sRNA from 1 species
UAUCGGGUGAAAGUCCUGAUCGGGGAAACCGUUACCGCCCCGUAGCCAAUGGUAACUGCGUUUUCAACAGAAAGGGUGGAGAGCAACCAAAGGCGAAUGAAUAGUCCGUAACGAUC